rnacentral:rRNA from 1 species
CCCUUAGAUGUUCUGGGCCGCACGCGCGCUACACUGAUGCAUUCAACGAGCCUAUCCUUGACCGACAGGUCCGGGUAAUCUUUGAAUCUGCAUCGUGACGGGGAUAGAUUAUUGCAAUUAUUAAUCUUCAACGAGGAAUGCCUAGUAGGCGCAAGUCAUCAGCUUGCGUCGAUUACGUCCCUGCCCUUUGUACACACCGCCCGUCGCUCCUACCGAUUGAAUGUUUCGGUGAGCUCUUCGGACUGCGCGGUCUGCAGUUUCUGCGUUCCGUGCGGAAAGUUGCGCAAACCUUAACAUUUAGAGGAAGGAGAAGUCGUAACA